rnacentral:rRNA from 1 species
UGAAUGCACCUGAUCUCAUCUGAUCUCAGAAACAAAGCA